rfam:Dipodomys ordii contig_8443, whole genome shotgun sequence.
CAGUGAGUCCUCUCCCCCCUGGGGACCCUGGGGAGUACCAGGAGGUCUCCCACGUGGGAGACCAUACAUUCCUGUUUAAUAUUUAAACAUCAGUGUUCUCA